rnacentral:rRNA from 1 species
GAUCAUGGCUCAGGAUGAACGCUAGCUACAGGCUUAACACAUGCAAGUCGCGGGGCAGCAGGUACAGAAGCUUGCUUCAGUACGCUGGCGACCGGCGCACGGGUGAGUAACGCGUAUCCAACCUGGCCCAUACCACGGGACAGCCCGUCGAAAGGCGGAUUAAUACCGUAUGCAGUCAUUAGGGAGCAUUUUUGAUGACGAAGGAUUUAGGCGGUAUGGGAAUGGGGAGUGCGU